rnacentral:rRNA from 2 species
UCUGCAUAGGCGAAAGCCUGACAGGGUUACUCUGAGUGAUUUCCGCUAAGGGGAUCUUUUGGCACCUCUAAAAAUGGUGCAGAAUAAGGGGUGGGCAAGUCUGGUGUCAGCCGCCGCGGUAAUACCAGCACCCCGAGUGGUCGGGACGAUUAUUGGGCCUAAAGCAUCCGUAGCCGGUCCUGCAAGUCUUCCGUUAAAUCCAGCUGCUCAACAGAUGGGCUGCGGAGGAUACUACAGGGCUAGGAGGCGGGAGAGGCAAGCGGUACUUUAUGGGUAGGGGUAAAAUCCGUUGAUCCAUUGAAGACCACCAGUGGCGAAGGCGGCUUGCCAGAACGCGCUCGACGGUGAGGGAUGAAAGCUGGGGGAGCAAACCGGAUUAGAUACCCGGGUAGUCCCAGCUGUAAACGAUGCAGACUCGGUGAUGGGUUGGCCUCGUGCCAACCCAGUGCCGCAGGGAAGCCGUUAAGUCUGCCGCCUGGGGAGUACGGUCGCAAGACUGAAACUUAAA